AGGACGUCACGCUGCGCAAGCUGGACAUCAAGGUGGAGACGGUCAACCGGGAGCCGCUGACGCUGCACGCGGACAGGGAGGAGGACACGGCCAGCGUGUCCACGGCCACGCGCGUCAUGAAGGCCAUCUACUCGUCGUUCAAGGACGACGUGGACCUGAAGCAGGACCUGCGCUGCGACACCAUCGACACCCGCGAGGAGUACGAGCUCAAGGACCCCACCAACGGCUACUACAACGUCCGCGCCCACGAGGACCGGCCGGCCUCGCGCUCCGUCCUCUACGGCGACUACCGGGCGCCGGGCCCCGGCCGCUUCGAGGCGCGGCCGCCCUCGCGGCUCUCGCACUCCAGCGGCUACGCCCAGCUCAGCUCCUACCCCCGCGGCGGCCCCGAGUUCCCCCCGGAGGCCGCGGCCGCGCCGGGGACGGCGGCGGGGGACACGGCCAGCCAGCUGUCCUACGAGAACUACGCGGGCGGCGGCGGCGGCGCCUUCCCGGGCGGCGCCGCGUUCCCGCCGUACCGGCUGGGCUUCGCCGCGGCGGCGGCGGGGCUGGAGCGCGGCGCCUACGAGGCCUACGAGGCCGUGGGGAAGUUCGGCGGCGCGGCGCGGUUCUCGUACACCUCGCAGCACUCGGACUACGGGCAGCGCUUCCAGCAGCGCAUGCAGACGCACGUUUAGGGCGGGGAGGGCUCCGCGGGUACCUCACGAGCGUCCCCUGAUAUUCAGGGGUUCGCCCCGAUCCCCCUCCCCGGAACCCCCCCCCCGACCUCUCCUCGGAGCUUCCGUUCGUUCCGUUGGUUCUCUCGCCGGUACGGUCCCGUCCCCGCCGGCGGAGCGGAGGGGUCGGCGCCGCUUUCGGCGUCUCCUCCGCGUCGCCCGCCGGGGUUUGCGCCCCCGUCGUCGUUCCCGGAGCUUUCCCAGGGAGCAGCUCUGCGUGUUCCCAAAUGCUGAGGGGCGCACAAACCCCAAAACAGCCCCAUCCCGAACCAUUCCCAUUCCUCAAACCAUUCCCAUUGGGAUCNNNNNNNNNNCUGGGAAUUUGGGAAUUCGGGAAUUCGGGGUUUUCGGGAGCCGCCCCGUACGCACAGCGCUCCCGGGAAAGGCGGCGCCGGGUCCCGGGGUGCCCCCAGAGCUGGGAUCAGGGCUCCCUCCUGAAUGUAAAUCCAGCGCGUUCCCGGGAAUUCUGGGAAUUCCGGGCGUGGGAGCGACCCAAACAUUGGGAUCGGGAGCUCGGCCCUGCCCCCAGUCCCAGUUCCGGGCACUGGGGGGAACUGGGGGCCCCAGUUUGGGGUGGGGGAAUUUGGGGGAUGAGUUUUGGAGGGAAUUCCCAGCCCCAA
rnacentral:lncRNA from 1 species